AGGUUUUCGAAAGGGAAAAAAACACAGGGCUGCGCCGCUGCAGGAAGAGAGUGCGAGGGAGAGAACGAGACAAAGAGAAGGAGAUAGAGAAUGAAAGAGUGAGAAAUGGAGCACGAGAGACGGAGAGAGCAGGGCUGCAGGAAGGAGGUCGGAAGAGAAGAGGGGAGAGAAUAACAUGAGGAAAAAGGACACAACAGUAGUGGAUAGACACUGGUUUAAAAUGUUUGGGAUUGCUAGGUCCGUUGGGCUUUCGGUGGCAGGACUUAUGGAAGGUGGUUCAGUAUGCCCAUGGAUUGGAUGUAUUCGUGAGUGCCCUAUUCGUUCUUGUUCUCCUUUCUUGGACAUGGAAAAAAUCUUUCCGACUGUUUUGGUGUAAAGCUCAGGGAUUUCUGAUUGGAUUGUUGGUUUCAGUGAUAGAGUUGCUAAAAUAUCUAUUACAUAGAUCAUCAAAGAUUUUUGCUUAUUAAUCAUAGAUAUAGAUUGGAUAGACAUUCAUUUGAUGAAACUAAAGAAAUGAGAAGUGCUCAUCUACCUC